UGGAAGUCACUAGUACAGAGCUACUAACAAAAUGAGUACAAGUCCCAAAAGUGGACAACAGAGACUGGACUGUCUCGAAAGGUAAAAGACAAGUCUAUAUAUACAGAUGGAGACUGAAAUAGUACAAAACGUCGUGUGCUCACUCCCGUCUCCGGAUCAGUCUGCUCCAAGCUCGAUCAACGCUGGCUACUAGUGCCCGGACCUGCUUCACGAAAUAGAUGCAGAGCGUAGCAUGAGUACCAAAACAGCUGGUACCCAGUAGGCAUCAUAGACCGACUGAACUUGAAAAGUAAAGGCAGUAUGAAAAGAAGGAAUAACACAAACCGAAGUCAAGAACUAAAAUCUAACUAACAAGGGAAUGCACACGAGUGUACAAAGAACUAACUAAAGUAAUCUAUAAGCUAACUACACCUAACUGGGCCCCCAUAAGCCCAGAAGGUACACUCGUGCGCAAGUUAAAUAAAAACCCGAACGGACCCCCAUAAGCCCGACGAGUACACAUAAUAACUAUAACUAAAGAGAAUUGCAUAAAAGAACCCAUGAACGAAGAACAUCGAACCAGAACCUCAACCCUAAUUAGUAGAAUCUGACAGUACGGAGGCCGGACCUCGAACCGGAUGCUCACCAAAAGUACCUAAGUAACCAAUCACAAGUAACAAGUAUAAGAGGUCAGAACUCUAACCGGAUGCUCUAUAUAAGUAUCUGAGCAAUAGAGGCCGGAACUCUAAACCGAUGCUCUAUAUAAGUAACUGGGCAAUAGAGGCCGGAACUCUAACCGGAUGCUCUAUAAAGGUGCCAAUGUAGCUGCUGAAAGAGUCCUAAUCGAUCCACACUCAUAAAUAUCCGUGGAACGCCGUCCAUACUUAGCCAAUCAAUGUAAGUCCUUGGAACCGAAUCGAAAAUCAAAUUCAAAUCGCGAAGUAGAACUAGUGUUGCUGAUGUAACUCGUGAAGCCGUAACAUCGGGAAAAAUAAGGAUAACUAAAGUCGGAGCAAACGUAUCACGUAGCUAAGGCCCAAACUAUCAAGCUCAAGUCUGUUACACCAGUCUACAGAGAUCUAAGCCGGCCGAGCGGCGUCGGGGUAAAACUAAGGCCUAUCGGAUCCGAAUCAUGUAUUUCUAAGGCAAGCCCUAGUCAAACCUAAACUAAGGCUCAACAUGCUUCAAAUAAAUAGUAAUUAAGCAUGCAAGCACUUCACAUAGCGAGGAGGGUCCAUUAAUCACAAAGUAUGCUCACAAUUACUCGAUAAUUCCCGAAAUAGGCCGAAAACAUAAUUUCUUAACACCUAUGCAGGAUUCAAUAACUACCCAACCCCAAAUCUCAACUAAUCAACAUGCAUUCACAUUCUCGAGCUCAAUCUAAGAGAGGGAAACCGUAGCCUACCUGUAGGCCAAUCACAAGCGCUCCAAAAUCACUUCUCCGGAGCUCUCCCUUUCCGAACGUCCUCAAAACGCUGUCCCGCUAUCAAAAAUAGAAUAAAAGAAAACAUUGCAGCAGCCUAAACUUGAAAUUAACGAGAAUCAAAAAGUUCCCAACACUCCUUAAGCACUCUACGACGAAGACACGAUAAUUUUCAACACAUGGAACUUCGAAUCACCCAAUUCCGAGCUAAAAUGAGUGAGAUAUGAUCAAAACAAUAAUGCCAAAAACCACAGCUCGAAAAAGGGUUCUGCAGUCAGGUUAAUUGCAAAAUUUACCUCAAACGGAGACCCCAAAUCACUAUCCGAGCUCACCAACGCGUUGUCCUCAAAAAAUCUCACAACUUUUCCUGUUGGAUCGCCCAAAUCGGUUGAGAGAUGAGAGAAUUAUGAGGGUUUGAAAUUUGGGAAAUGUUGCUGAUUUUCUGCAAUUUAUUGCAGAAAAUCUGCAACAUUUCCAAAACUUAAAAUUCCGAUGGGGUGUUCCGAUCUCGUUCGGAACCCCGUGCACGCAAACGAGAUAUGCAACCAUACCAAAUUUGAUAUUCCAGACUGAACGGCGCAGUCGAAAUUUCCAUCAGAGGUCAUUUCGAUAAAAAGUAGGUCCCACUUCCAAAAGUCAUUUUAAGUCAAAACCAACAAAAGUGCUCGGAAAGAUAUUGAAAACCUCCAGACACAAAAGAAGGGUCAAUCUAGACCAAACUCGACAUUCCGAAGCUAACCACGCUGACGGAAUUCUCAUCCGAGCGUGUUUACUCAGAAUGUUGACCAAAGUCAAACUUAAGCCAAAUUUCAAAGGCUAAAACGCCUAAUCGCACCGACUCACACUGAAAACCUCGAGAGUCAUGUCGACCAUGCUACUAGCCUAAAAUGACCCUUCCGGAGCUGAUGGAAUCGUCAGAAUUGGAUUCCGAUGUCAUCUUCUUGAACUUUUGAUCGAAAAUGAUCGUUCAAGGUUCAUAAGCUCCAAAACAUAAAAACUCGCACCAAGACCAAACGAACGACCAUGUGACCGAACUGUCAGUCACAGCAAGUCAUAAAUGAAUUGGGGUCGCUAUAGGAACGCUCUAAACGACACACAGAAGGCAAGACACAGAAAUGACCAUGAGGGUCAUUACAAUAUCCACUACUAAAAAGGACUUUCGUCCGCGAAAGAAAGGAUCAAGAAGUACCUGAAGGCUCAAACAAGCUGGGAAACUGCUCUCGCAUCUCCUGCUCGGUCUCCCAGGUAGCCUCCUCGACUGGACGAUGCCUCCAACGGACCUUAACAACAGGAAUGGCUCUCGAGCGUAAUCUCCUCGCAUCUCUGGCUAGAAUGGCAACUGGCUCCUCUACAAAUGUCAAACGAUCAUCCAACUCGACUGCAUCAUACUGGAGCACAUGGGACUCAUCAGGAACAUAUCGCCGCAACAUCGAGACAUGAAAAACUGGGUGGAUGGCUGAAAAUGCUGGAGGUAGGGCCAACUCAUAAGCAACCUCCCCAACUGUCCGGAGUAUCUCAAAAGGCCCAAUGUACCUGGGGCUAAGCUUGCCCCGCCUCCCAAACCUCAUCACGCCCUUCAUGGGCGACACACGGAGGAAUACCCGGUCACCAACAGAGAAUCUCAAAGGUCGAUGCCUCUGAUCCGCAUAACUCUGGUGCCUACUCUGAGCCGUCCUGAGCCUAUCCUGAAUCACCCUCACCUGAUCCAGGGCCUCCUGAAGCAAAUCUGAACCACGCGGCCUAGGCUCUGUAGACUCAAACCAACCAACUGGAGAGCAACAACGCCUACCAUAUAAGGCCUCAAACGGGGCCAUCUGAAUACUAGAGUGGUAGCUGUUGUUGUACGCAAACUCCGCCAAAGGCAAGAACUGGUCCCACUGACCUCCAAAAUCCAUAACACAUGCCCGCAACAUAUCCCCAAGGACCUGAAUAGUACGCUCUGACUGACCAUCCGUCUGUGGGUGAAAUGCUGUGCUAAGGUGGACACGGGUGCCCAACUCCUCCUGAAAAGCCCUCCAAAAGCUGGAAGUGAACUGUGAACCCCGGUCUGAAAUGAUAGAAACAGGCACACCAUGAAGACGAACUACCUCCCGAAUAUAGAUACGAGCCAACCUCUCAGCACUGAAGGUAGUAUGAACAGGAAGGAAGUGUGCUGACUUGGUCAAUCGAUCCACGAUGACCCAAAUGCUGUCAACACCUCUAGAAGUCCGAGGCAACCCCACAACGAAGUCCGUAGUGAUACGCUCCCACUUCCACUCAGGAAUGGGUAAUCUCUGGAACUCGCCACCAGGUCUCAAAUGCUCGGCCUUUAUCUGCUGGCAGAACAGGCAACGGGAAACAAAGUCAGCAAUAUCUCUCCUCAUGCCACUCCACCAGUAAUGCUGCCUCAAAUCACGAUACAUCUUCGCUGUGCCCGGAUGGAUAGAGUAUCUAGACUCAUGGGCCUCAGAAAGUAUCAACUGUAUCAAAUCUCCAACUCUCGGAACACAGAUGCGGCCGGCGAAUUUCAAUACUCCAGCAGGAUCUAAGGUAGCCUGACCACCAUCACCCGCUAACACUCGAUCUCUAAGGGCCACCAAGGCCUCAUCCUCAAACUGAAAACCACAGAUCUUACUAGAAUCUGAGAUAUCCAACCGAACCAUGCUAUUAGCUAAGGACUGAAUGUCCAAAGCUAACGGUCGCUCCUCAGCAGAUAAGAAGGCUAGACUACCCAUACUCACUGCCUUCCGGCUCAAGGCGUCCGCUACCACAUUCGCCUUGCCCGGAUGAUAGAGAAUAGAGAGGUCGUAGUCCUUCAGGAGCUCAAUCCAACGACGCUGCCUCGAAUUAAGGUCCCUCUGGCUCAUGAUGUACUGAAGACUCCUAUGAUCGGUAUAGAUCUCACAUCGAACUCCAUACAAGUAGUGCCUCCAAAUCUUAAGCGCGAAAACUACCGCCGCCAACUCCAAGUCAUGAGUGGGGUAGUUGCGCUCAUGGAUCUUAAGCUGCCUCGAUGCAUAAGCAAUAACCCGGCCCUGCUGCAUCAAUACACAACCCAAACCAACGCCGAAUGCGUCACAAUAAACUGUAAAGCCCUCGCCCUCAACUGGAAGAGUCAAUAUAGGAGCGGUGGUCAAUAACUCCUUGAGCCUCAAAAAGCUCGCCUCACACUCCUCUGACCAAACAAAAGGAACAUCAACACGAGUCAAUCGAGUCAACGGGGCUGCAAUAAUAGAAAAACCCUCAACAAAACAUCUGUAGUAACUCGCUAACCCGACGAAGCUACGAACCUCAGUAACAGAGGUGGGCCUGUGCCAAUCACGAAUAGCCUCAAUCUUCGCCGGAUCAACCUUAAUACCCUCAUUUGACACCACGUGCCCCAAGAAGGCUACAGACUCAAGCCAAAACUCGCACUUUGAGAACUUGGCAUAAAGCCGCUGAUCUCUCAAAGUCUGGAGCACUAUCCUCAAAUGCUGCUCAUGCUCACUUCGGCUCCGCGAGUAUACCAGUAUGUCAUCGAUGAAGACGAUGACAACCUUGAUGUCAAAGCCUAGCAAAGCAAGAGAAAGAGAAGAACUUGAAGCUUGAAAUCCUAGCUUUUUUUUUCUUGAAGUUGAGAGAGAAUUGGAGAGGAUGAACUUGGAUGAGAAUUGAGAAUUUGAGGAAACUAGAGGGUUUGGGUAGUUUUAGGAAUUAAAAGGUAGUAAUAGGACUUAGAAAUAAGGCCAAAACGACAUAUUAUAAGUAUUAAUUGCAUAGGAAAAUACCCAAAUGCCCUUAAGAAAUAAAUGUCGAACAGGACCUUGAUCCGGAGGACUUCCUACGGCUCGUACUGGUCAACUGUAUAACCAACUUUAGAAACCCAAAAUUCAUUCAACUUCCCACGAAACCACUCUACGAGUCGUCAUCUGGUCUAUGGUCUAUAGACCCCUUCCAUAAAACCCAAGUUCAAAUUCAAAAUUUCACUAAAGCUGAGUCACUUCUACGGGUACUUCCUACGACUCGUAGACUACUCUACGACCUGUCAAGUCUUCUCGUAGACUGAGGCCUCAAUUUCGUUUCUCUAAAUGCACUAUAUGGAUCAGUCCUACAACCUAUGACACUUACUACGACUCGUCAUGUCCAUUUGUAGGUCUCACAUCGGAGACUUGACAUUUCCAAAACUUAUCCCAUGAACCACAAUUGCCUUCCUAUGACCUGUUGAACUUCCUACUGUCUGUAGAUAGGCUCGUAGUUCACUGCAUCAGUGCAAUAAACUGAACUUUCCCUUUUCAAUCUGACUUUCCAAUUUUCGAGUGUUACAUAGGCCUAGUCAUCAUCUCUUUCCUCCCUAACAACAAUUACAACAAUAUCUAACUAUUCAGACUCCGUUCCUAAAAGCCUAGACAUGAAAUCUCUGAAUACAUACAUGAUAGGAUGCGAUACAAGCAGGUCUAACUAUUAAUUUUGAAAUAAAACCUAGCCUACCUGGGCGUCAAACAUCCGCUGAUGAAUCUUAUACCAGAAUACGAUCUCGUGUAAUUUCCCCUUGGUGAACGACAUUCCUAUCACGAAAACUUUCCCUCCUCUAUUGCUCCUGUGCCUCGGGUGCUCCUAGAGGGUUUUUGGAGCAUAUCUUGUCUAUUUCCUCCUUUCAAAAAUGGAAGGAAAAUAAAAGACAACACAUUAAUUAGGUUGCUAAUUUUCGACGUCUCGCUAUAGAGGGACUCAGACUGUUAUAGUGGCGUCGCCAUAGCAAGGGACCUUCCGCUAUGGCGAGAUGACAUUAGCCCAACCCAAAAAUAAUCUAAGCCAAAAUUCGUUAUGCUCAAACUUUAGAACUUCCUACCGAACUUUUGGGACUCCGCAUGAGGUAGCCCUUCGUAAUGACGGAUCGAAUCGUUACACUAAUUAGGUGCACCACUUGGUAUUAUUCAUCACAAUUGAAUUAUCAUUCGGGUGUUUCAAGAAUGGUGAAUGGUAAAACCCAGAAAUAAUAUACACAAAUUGGUUAUCACUAUAAUGCCUACUAUUGUUAGUUGGCUUAUUUGGAAAAGCUGGACUCCUUGCAAGUAUGGAGAGCAAUUUUAUUAUUUUUUUAAUCAAAAUCAAGAAUGGACUAUUAGUAGGGAUGGCAAUGGGGAGGGGCGAGGCGGAUGCAGGGCGGGAUGGGUUUAACGCUAUGUGUGGCGGGACGGGUUUAAGGUUGCGUGUGGCUGGUUGAAGUGGGUUUUUUAAAAAUUAUUGCGGGGUGGGGCGGGGCGGGUUGCGAGUAUAUGUGAUUUUAUGUAGGUUCAAAUUUAAUUUGAAAUUUUUACAUGUUAUAAGAGUGAUAAAACAUUAUUUAUUAAGAUAAUUUCUACAAAUCUACUAAAAUAUUGAAGAUAGUAAAUGAAAAUGGUUCAAUAAAAAAUACUACAAUUUCUUACAUGUUUUCCAAUUGACCUCUAAAAAAUAAAAUUUUAAGUCACUAUCCUAUUACAUUAAUAAAACUUAAUGAAACAAAGAAUUUAUUUUUAUGAAUUUUAUUUUUAGUAUCAAACUUAACUAGAAAAAGAAAAUAUUAAAAAAGUUAUGUGGGACGGGAUGGAGCGGGUUGAAAAUGAAAAAAAUUGUUAUUCGGGGUGGGGCGGGGCGGGGCUGAUUAAAAAUUUUGCGGGUUAUGGCCACCCCACCCCGCACCGCCCCAUUUCCAUCCCUAACUAUUAGACCUGUUAUGGCCACAACAUUUCCUAACUGCUUGUUUAGGGACACUUGGGCCAACAACCAGUGGUCCAUUAGACCAAACCUUUAGUUGGUUUGGUUAAAGUCAAUACAAAUGGUAGCUAUAUCGAAGGAAUUGAAAGGAUUUGGUGUUGGCCUUUUCAAUACAUGUUCAAUGCAAUAUCAACGAGGCACAAGGAUUUGGCUGCCAACUUUGGUAGAAAAUGGUGUAGACAUAACGAUAUACUCCUUCGGUCCAAUUUUAUAUGAGUUAGUUUGAUUCGAUACAGAAUAUAAGAAAGAAAGAAAGACUUGAAAUUUGUGAUCUGAAAUAAGUGAUAGAGUUUUUUGUGGCUAUAAGUCACUUGAGACAAUUAAAUGAAAGGUGUCAAUUAAGUUUGAGUUUUGUUUUUGGUGACACUUUGACCAAGAAAGGGUCAAAUUCACUUUAAAAUGUAAUUAAGUAAAUCUGGGAUCAAAUUAACAUUUUUCAAAAACUUUCUAAUCUUUCAUAAAAUACAAAAAAUACUUCAUUUUUCAACUUUUAUAAUUCUAUCCAAACCAUUUAAAACAAAGGUAAAAGAAAAUAGAAUUUUCUCUUCUUCUCCCAACGUUCUCUCUUCUCUUCUUCUUCUUCCUUAGAAAAUCCAAAAAUCCGACUAUCAAAACAAAUAUUCUUCCCCAUUAUCUUAUCUUCCUCCUCAUCUCCGGCCGUGACUCUCUCUUCUUUCUGAACUGAAGAUUGUGUUCGACUUAAAAUGGGCAAGUCAUUUUUUUGAAAGAUUUUACAAUUUUCGAACAAUACUAAGUUUUUUCUUGGGUUAAUGAACAAUAAAUCGUUCUAUAGAUGUGAAAAUUAAAUAAUAGUGUAAUGGUACCUAUUAUUUAUUGUUUUUGAAAGAAAUUCAACAAACCCAAAAAAGCCCUAAUUUUGAGGAAAUGUAUAUGUAUUGUUAACAUUCAGUGAAAAUUCAAUUUUUGUUGCUUUUGUUAUUUUUUUUGUGACCAUUUUGUUCAUAUGAUUUGAGAAAUAUAGUCUUGUUCAGUUGUCCAACAUAUAUUUCAUUUGUUGAAAUAUGUGUCGUAUGUUGCUACAUUUUAGUGAUAUGUUGGUAUAUAUUCCAACAGAGUUGUCAUAUGUUGGAACAUAUCACAUAUGUGUUAGGGAAACAAAAUGGUCAUAUGUAGUAACAUAAGAUUCAUUUGUGGCACAUGAAGAUUCAUGUGUGGCCACAUAAGAUUCAGCAACAGAAGGUACAUUUGUUGCAACAUAAUAUCCAUCUGUGUCAACAUAAGUAUAAAUUGCUACCCAUUAUUAUUUUAUAAUCAAUGGUAAACUUUCAACCUUUUUUUAUUUACCUUGUAGAUGAAAUGAUUCAAGAAGUUUCAUCCAUGACAAUAACUCAAUCUUUUAUUGGUGUUGCUUCCUCUUCUAACAUCAAAUUCUAUUUUUGUCUAUGCGGAAGAAUGUGAGCAGCAACAUGAUUAUUUUAUUAGUCGUGUUAAAGAACUCACUGAUAUUUUUAAGGAAAUAACUUAUAAUAUUGAUGUUCAUACAUCCAAGAAGAUUUCACAACCUUUGAAGUGUAGGAGGUUGAAAAAAUCUAUUUCUCAAUCAUUAUCUAUAAUUAGUGAAAGAAAAAUCAAUGACUACUGCUCCAGUAUCACACUCAAACUCAAAAGGCAAGGAGAAGGAGAAGGAUAAGGAGGAGGAGGAGAAGGAGAAGGAGCAAGAGAAGGAGAAGGAGAAGGAGAAGGAGAAGGAGAAAGUGAAAAAGAAAGCAAAAGAGAAAGAGAAAAAUAAAGAGAAGAAAGUCGAAGUCGUCAGUUGUGAUGUGAAGCAACAAUAUCCAUUUGAAGGUUUUAACAUUGACGACGAGGGUCCAACUGAACUAAUGUCAUCCUUCUCGCAAUGGAUAAACGAGGGUCUUUACAAGCAUCAUGCAAAAGAGUAAAAGUCGUUAAAACUAUUAUUAGUAUAUCUUCUUGUUGUCCACUAAAUAAUUAUUUAUAAUGAUUACACAAUUGCAGAAGAGACAAGGAUGAUCACUACUUAGCUAAUUGCUCGGAUCUUGAGUUCAAACAACUUGAUUUUGUAGUUGCAUUUUCAAAGAAGAAGGAUUGGUUUUACGUAAUGUCUCAACCCAAUAAGUGCUGGACUGAUCAGGUAAAUCCAUACCCACUUUUAUCUUUUGAUUAAGACAUGAAUACAUACAAAUAAAUUGAUAUAGAAAUACACUUGUUGAUGCAUCUGUGCAACAUGUGAAUGUCAUUUUAUACUAUUUGCAGAAGAAGUCAAAGCAACAGAGUCAUUCUAAAUAUCGAUAUACCACUACUAAUUAUUUUUUUCAAAACAUACAUUGAUCAUGCCAGUGUUGUUUCUGGAGAAUAAAAUCGCUGGCACUAUCAAAGGGUUUGGUAUACCUGGUGGACUGCCUUGGCACCUCAUCGAGGACUAAGAGAAAAUUGUGCUCUGAGAUUCAAAAGUUGUCUACAUUGUUGUCAAAGUACCUUGAUUUUUUUUAUCAAAAAGACCGAACUAACUGAUCAGUUCUUGAAUCUUACCAAGAAAAGAACAAAUCUCACCCAUUCGAAGUCAGACAUGUUACUGGUAUUGCCCAACAAGCAACCAAUAGUCUGUAAGUAUCACAUUAAUUUUUUUGUCUUACCACUAUUGAAAUAUGAUGUUAUUAUAUUUUCUAAUUGAUGAUAUACCAUGCAGAGAUUGUGGACUUUUUGUUGCUGCAUACACUGAGUUUUUGAGUGAUGGACUACAAGUACCAUCUUAUGAAAUUAGUUCUGAAAUCCUCCGCAAUGAGAUAUGCUUCACUCCUAUGAAACUAUGGAAUUUUAAAGGUUCGGAGUGACUAUGUUAGUAACAAUGAAGACCCACAAAGGCCUAGACCUAAAUAAACAAAGUUCGAUGAAAAUGUUGUGGCUACCACCAUUUAUUAGAUUGAUGGUUAUGUAUACCAUUGUGAAUUACUUUUUUGUUGAUAAGUUGUAUAAAACAUUUGGUGAAGUGUUCAUUUUGGCUGAUAAUAUUAAUAUUAAUGAUUAUUAAUAUUAAUGAUUAUUAUUAUUUUUAUUUUGUUGGAACAAAUGUCAAUUAUUAAGGAAGAAAUGUGGUGCAAGUGGCAACAUAUACAACAUCUGUUGUAAAAAACACCGUAGAAUUAUCUUCAUGUACCCCAACAGAAAGGAUAUAUGUAGCAACAUAUGUCACAGAAAGAAGAUAUGUGGUAACAUAUGUCACAGAAAGGAGAUAUGUGGCAACAUUAUAACAUUAUAUUGUCAUCAAUUGUUCAUUUUUGCUGAUAAUAUUAAUAUUAAUGAUUUUUUUUUGUUGGAACAAAUGUCAAUUAUGAUGAAAAGGAAGAAAUGUGGUGUCUGUCGCACCAUAUAUAACCUCUGUUGUAAAAAAAAUCAAAGAAUUAUCUGCAUGUGCCCCAACAGAAAGGAUAUAUGUGGCAACAUAUGUCACAGAAAGAAGAUAUGUGGUAACAUAUGUCACAGAAAUGAGAUAUGUGGCAACAUUAGAUUGUCACAAAUUGUUCAUUUUUGCUGAUAAUAUUAAUAUUAAUGAUUAUUGUUAUUAUUUUUAUUUUGUUGGAACAAAAGUCAAUUAUGAUGGAAAGGAAGAAAUGUGGUGUCUGCGCACCAUAUAUAACCUUUGUUGUAAAAAAUACCACAUAAUUAUCUGCAUGUGCCCCAACAGAAAGGAUAUAUGUGGCAACAUAUGUCACACUUUGAAUUGUCAAAAUUCAAAAAAAUAAUUAAAAGGGUUUAAAACAAUCGUCCCUUCAUUUUUCCCUCUCUCCUCUCUCUCCUCUCCUCUAUAAAAGGUUGUUUCGUUUCAUAUUCCAAAUUUAAUUUAUUUUUACUAAUUUUCGUUUUCUUUUCUCUUCUUUCCUUUCUCUCGUUCCAUUAUUCCUUCACAGAUCAAAUUAUUGCGAUAUUUUCUACAACAUCAGUGGUAAUCUAUUGCAAUACUCUUCUACAACAAGUUGUCGUUGCCCUCAUCAUUUCUAGUUUAUCGUUGAUAUCUUCUCAUGUAAAAUUUAAUUAGGGUUUUGAAAUACUUAUUGGUAUUAGGACGUUUUUAGUGGUUUUAUCACUUAUUUGUUUGUAGGAUGGUUGGGUUGUUAUUCCUUUCGAAAUAUUAUCUAAUUUCAAAAAGCUUAACCCCAACAAACACAUUUUAGGAUAUACAUAUAUUGCCACAUAUGACAUGUCUGUUGUAAUUUUUCCAACAGAACGUGCAUAUGUUGCCACAGAUGACGCUUCAAGGAUGGGUUAAUCGAUAAAUUGAGCGAUUUAGGAAUGAAAAAAUUUCAAAUUGUACCAAAUUUUAGUACAUUGGACCAUAAUUAAACAAUAAAAAUAUGCUAUAACACUUGGAACAACGAUUUACAAGGGUGUUAUAUAACUAUCAUAUGGAGUUACUUGGUCAUUGAUGAACUAAUGAUAUGAUAAUCUUUGUAAAAACAAUUGAUAGAAUUGAUGAAGGUUAUUGUAUUAAACCAUAAUUUUGUACUCAGACAUGUUAUAGGACUAUAUAUUAAUAUUACAUGUUGAUUUAGGUGACAAUUUAAUUGAAUUAACCCCAACAAGCAUAUUUUAGGAUAUAUAUAUGUUGUCACAUAUGACAUGUCUGUUGCAAUUUUUCCAACAGAACGUGCAUAUGUUGCAACAUAUGUCACUUCAAGGAUGACUUAAUAGAUAAAUUGAGCGAUUUAGGAAUGAAAAAAAUGUUAAAUUGAACCAAAUUUUAGUACUUUGGGCCAUAAUUAAGCAAUAAAAAUAUGCUAUAACACUUGAAACAAUGAUUUACAAGGGUGUUAUAUAACUAUCAUAUGUAGUUACUUGGUCAUUGUAUGAUGAACUAGUGGUAUGGUAUUCUCUGUAAAAAUAAUUGAUAGAAUUAAUGAAAGUUGUUGUAUUAGACCAUAAUUUUGUACUUAGACAUGUUGUAGGACUAUAUAUUAGUGUUACAUGUUGAAUUAGGUGACAAUUUAAUUGAAUUAACCCCAAAAAGCACAUUUUAGGAUAUACAUAUGUUGCCACAUAUGACAUGUCAGUUGCAAUUUUUCCAACAGAACGUACAUAUGUCACUUCAAGGAUGACUUAAUCGAUAAAUUGAGCGAUUUAGGAAUGGAAAAAUGUCAAAUUGAAUCAACUUUUAGUACUUUGGACCAUAAUAAAGCAAUAAAAAUAUGCUAUAACACUUGGAACAACAAUUUACAAGGGUGUUAUAUAACUAUCAUAUGGAGUUACUUGGUCAUUGUAUGAUGAACUAGUGGUAUGAUAGUCUUUGUAAAAAUAAUUGAUAAAAUUAAUAGAGGUUGUUGUAUUAGACCAUAAUUUUGUACUUAGACAUGUUGUAGGACUAUAUAUUAGUGUUACAUGUUGAAUUAGGUGACAAUUUAAUUGAAUUAACCCCAAAAAGCACAUUUUAGGAUAUACAUAUGUUGCCACAUAUGACAUGUCUGUUGCAAUUUUUCCAACAGAACGUGCAUAUGUUGCAACAUAUGUCACUUCAAGGAUGACUUAAUAGAUAAAUUGAGCGAUUUAGGAAUGAAAAAAAUGUUAAAUUGAACCAAAUUUUAGUACUUUGGGCCAUAAUUAAGCAAUAAAAAUAUGCUAUAACACUUGAAACAAUGAUUUACAAGGGUGUUAUAUAACUAUCAUAUGUAGUUACUAGGUCAUUGUAUGAUGAACUAGUGGUAUGGUAUUCUUUGUAAAAAUAAUUGAUAGAAUUAAUGAAAGUUGUUGUAUUAGACCAUAAUUUUGUACUUAGACAUAUUGUAGGACUAUAUAUUAGUGUUACAUGUUGAAUUAGGUGACAAUUUAAUUGAAUUAACCCCCAAAAGACCAUUUUAUGAUAUACAUAUGUUGCCACGUAUGACAUGCCUGUUGCAAUUUUUCCAAUAGAAUGUGCAUAUGUUGCCACAUAUGUCACUUCAAGGAUGAGUUAAUCGAUAAAUUGAGAGAUUUAGCAAUGAAAAAAUGUCAAAUUUUUUUAGAUUAAAUAUUUUAUAAUGAACAAAUUAAAAAAUCAGUACAAAACACAAAAAAGGUCACCUUUUUCCCCAUGAGUUUGCAAGAAAUGUAUAUAUGUUGUCACACAUGAAAAUUUAAUUAAUACAGAAAUUUAACUAUUUCAUCUAUUUCUAAAUCACAACUACAUAAUUCACAAAGAUAGAAUUGAUGAACAGUACAACAAAAUGGUAUUUCUCCUAACAAAUAAGGUUCUGGCACCCUUCCAAAUAAAAUCAUCAUACAAAAUAUUUCUUUCGAUAGUCAUCCCUAUUGACCCUCCCCGUUUCUUACUAUUCUUCCAAUGCCAAAUGUAUCAAUUUUUCUUCUCAACCCAUUAAUCACGACAAUCAAUACCUACAAAUAAUCCCUGCCUUUAUUGUACCUGAAGAAAUUAAUUAAAAAAAUAAUUAGUACUAAUGACAACAUGUGUAAGUCAUAUGUUGCUACAUAUGGCUAUUAUGUGGCGAGAUGUAAGUCAUAUGUUGCUACAUAUAACUGUUAUGUUGUGACAAAUAUGUCGCAACAUAUGACUAUUCUGUUGCGAAAUGUAAGUCAUAUGUUAUUACAUAUAAUUUUUCUGUUGCAAAACAUAAAUCACAUGUUGUGACAAAAUGUACAAGUCAUAUGUUGCAACAUAUGACCAUUCUGUUGCCACAUGUAAGUCAUAUGUUGCUACAUGUCUAAGUUACAUGUCGCAGCUUGUGUAAGUUAUAUGUUGCAACAUAUGUCUAUUCUAUUACGAUUGAAAUAACCUUUCUGUUGCAACAUAUAUAGCCAUCUAUUGGAAACGCGAAUGCAAAUUAUUGAAAAAAUUGCAGAUACCCAGAUGAUGAUGAAUGAUUUCAAAGAACUAUUAAUUUUACUUACCAAAACAAUGGUGUGUGACCCCAAUCACUUAUUAAGUAAUUUCAGUUGAUACAGAACAAAAUCUGGUCCAUUGAUUAGAUUAGCUAAAUCUGAUUCAAGAAGAAGAAGAAAGCUCAAGGACUAGCAGUCAAGACCAACAAUGUACGAAAAGAAGAAGAAGAAGAUGAAGAGAACGGGAAGAAAGGGAAGAAAGGCAAGCAAGCAAGCAAGAACGAAGCAGAAGAGGAAUACGUCGGGAGGCGGGGGAAAAAUCUUUUAUUUAUCCUUUUGGUACAGCUUGCUGGUGGCUCCCCUCCAGUUUUGGUUCUCACCAAAAUUGGUUAAAUUAGGUUUUAGUCAUUUACCCUUUAACCCCUCAUUUAAUUUAAUGGAUCAAACUGCCAACUUAUAAACUUGAGGGCAACUCCACAAUCCUUAAUCAUUAAUCAUUAAUCACAUAAUUGUCACCUACACUCAAUAAUUAAGACUUAUGUCACCGCCCCUUUAUUUUGACACCUUAAUGUCACCUUUAAUUCAAAGCCCCAAGUCACUUCAUUAAGGGUAAAAUAAAUAAUUUAAAGUUAAAUUGUUAUUUAAUAUAAAAAAAAUGUGUCAUUUUUUUAGGAAUUACUAAAAAGAAAAGUAAUUCAUAUAAAAUAGGACAGAGCAAGUAAUAAAGUUCACAUUAGAACUAGAUUCCUUAAUCAUCACGGACAUGAUGAAGGACCAAACUCACAACACCAUGAAGCUCAGGAAAUUAAUCAGGAGCACCAAUAAUAAAGUAACUUUUCUUAUUGAAUCCAAAAGUUUCGGUGUUGCUACGACUGUAAAUCUUUUUAGAUACAUGUGGAAUGGUCGCUUUUGUACUCACAUAAUACUUUACGUAUUUGAUCUGCCAUUAUUAAUUUUGUAACACUUUUUAAAUGAGAAACCAUUUUGGAUAUGGUUCAAGAAAUUUCCUAUGUUGCUUAUAUAGUUUAUUCUCUCACCAUCAUACAUUGAAUGUUUUUAGUAAAAAUAUAAUGAAUAAUAUUUGAUUAUUAAGAAAGAAUGAACAUUUUGUAUAAUGAAUUUAUUUUUAUAAUGAAUCAUGAAAUUCUUGAAUUUAUUUUACAAUGAAUUAUUUAACAAAAAAAAUAAUAUUACAAUAAAUCAUACGCAUACAUCAUACUAGCUUUAUGUAUAAUGAAUUUAUUUUUUGUAUUAUUCAAUAAAUGUAAUUAGUUAGAUACAAUGAUUUUGAUAUAUUUAUUGUACUUUGUAUAUAAUAAAUUUUAUUUUCAUGUGAACUCAAUAAAUAAGUUACAUUAAUGAUUUUGAUGUAAUCAAAAUUAAGCUUCAUUCGUUGAAUCUCAAAAUAAUAAUAUUUUAUGGUCCACCAUUAAUUUCGUGAGGUUUCCUAUAAAUGUUUUUUAUUUUUUUGAGAGUAUAAAUAGGUGAUCCAUUUUCAAUUUUGAUCACCAUCACCAUAAAAUGCACUUGUUACCUAUCUCUAAUUGGAAUGUUCUGUCGGUAUCCCUCAUUUCUAGCCGGAGUUCAACCUAUGCUCGUCUCCAUUGCUGCUCUCUCAACUCUUCAGCUCUUGGCCAUGGUAUAUAUCUCUUGCCGUGCCUAACUAAGCUCGUUUCUAAUUUGACUGAAUACGAAGUUUAAGAAAUAUCAAUAUUUCAAAAUUACCCUUAAAUUUUGAUUGUUUAUGGAUUUUUUUUUGCCAAGUGAGUAAAAUGUUAAUAAUGUCGUCAAGCAUUUGCCAAAUAAGAUAAAUGCCUUGCAUAAUGUUAUGCUUACUGUCUAUUGUUUAUAAAUGAUUGAUUUGUCAUGUUGUUUAUAAUAUUUUGUCACUGUCUUCAUUUUUGUUAUUUUUUUUUUUCUUCUUAUUACUUACUUUUUUUUAUUUGUAGUUUAAAGGUCUAUCGAAAAAAAAAAAAUGUCUCCAUGAGUAAGUAGACAAACUUUUAAGAAGUUGAACAAAUUUUAAAAUGUUAGUAUUUCAAGUUGAGUUUUACCAAUAUUUUCUUGUAUCAAGUUUUCUGAAUUUUCUACUGUUGCUAUUUUGAUACGUACGAUGUGUGUACAUGUGUGUGAGUGAAAUAAAUAAAUAAAUUGUUUUCCUUUUGUUCAGUUAUGGAUGAGAAGAGGUUCAUUGAAGUUUCUAAAAACGGAAACUUGAUUCCGCUGCACAACCAUUUUUUCUGAUCAUCUGACUCCGAUGUUGGCAUACCGAUGUUUGGUGAAAGAAGAGGAUCGUGAAGCUCCAAGUUUUCUAUAUGAGUCAAUUGAACCUGGUUUUGAAGGUUCUAGUGUUGUAAGGGUUUUCUUUUUAAAAAAUUUAUCAGAAACACCUCUGUGUACACCCUAUCCUCCCCAGAUCCCACUGGGUAUGUUGUUGUUGAUCAUGCUAGGUAAAAGUUAUAGUUGUUUCUCUCAGGGUUGAUACAGUCGAAGAUCCGAUGACAAUUCCAGCAAUUAUUUCCAACGGAUGGAAACUCGAACUUAUUGAUGAUGAACUUCCUGAUACCUUUUGUGGUGAGGUUUUUGUUUUCACUAAUUGUGUUACAAGGAACUUAUUUACUCCCUCCAUUUCAAAAAGAGUGGCCUAGUUUGACUUGGCACGGAGUUUAAGAAAAUAAAGAAACUUUUGAAUCUUGUGGUCCUAAAUUAAAGUUAUGUCAAAUGUACAAAAUUGCCAUUUAAUCUUGUGGUCUUAAACAUGUCACGUGGAAAGCUGAAAAUAAAAUGUUACUAAAAAAGGAAAGAGGUCAUUCUUUUUUAAAUAGAGGGAGUAAUUAGUUUCCCACUAUAGCUUUCUACAAGGAAUAAAUAUACGGCUCCGCUCUCGUUUAGCAAAUAGAUUUCACUGGAAAACAUACCUUAUAUUCAGGGGUGGGUCUAGGGGCCUGCGAGGGUGUUCAUCCGUUACACUGGGUAUGUUGUUGUUGUAUUUCGGAAGGCUACUACAACUUGAGCUCCAUGCAUAUAUUAGGCUACUCAACUGCAUUUUUUUAAUUCAAUCACAAUUUUUACUGUCAUUAAUAUCACUUCAAACAGGUGGAUGGUUUGGUUACUUUUCAUAUGACACAGUUCGGUAUGUAGAGAACAAGAAGUUACCAUUCCCAAGGGCUCCAUAGGAUGACCGGAACCUUGCAGAUAUUCAGUUAGGACUUUAUGACGAUGUCAUUGUAUUUUAUCAUGUUGAGAAGGUAUGUUUGUCGAAUUUUGCACUUAUGAAUAGUCUCUCUAUCCAUUACUUCUUAUAUGUCCUGCCUUGGUGCAUAUAUGUGAGAACAUGAUAAAUACUUGUGUUAUAGUUUAUGUUGUUUGGACUCUUCAAAAAUUGUCAAUAGGUGCGUGUUGGAUUCUCCAAAGUAGUGUAUUUUUGGAGAAUUCGACAUGAGUGUGACACCACCAAAACUGAUGAGUCCGCACAACUUCUUGUUCCUGGAGAAAGCGCAUGUGAUUCACUGGGUCCGGUUGGAUCAAUAUUCCUCUCUUCCUGAAACUUAUCUUGAUGGGAAGAAACACUUGGAAAUAUUAAUGUCUAGAGUACAAGGAAUCAAGUCGUAAGUCCUUUUUCGUUUUCCUUUUUGCAUAGAAACAAGCAAUUGAGAAACAUUAUUUACAUAUUGAAUUUUUAUUUUUUAGUCCAAGUUUAUCUCCCGGUUCUGUGGAUUUCUGUAUUCAUGAAUUUGGAACUUCGUUAACCACGGAAAACAUGACACGUGAGAAGUACAAGAAUGCUGUCUUACAGGCAAAGGAACACAUUGCUUCAGGAGACAUAUUUCAAAUUGUUUUAAGUCAACGUUUAGAGAGAAGAACAUUUGCUAAUCCAUUUGAAGUCUAUAGAGCAUUAAGAAUUGUGAAUCCAAGCCCACAUAUGACUUAAAAACAAGUAAGUCGUUUGUUCUUCGCGUAUUCAGCGUGAGUAAAUGUCUAAUAUAUCUGGUUACCUGUGCUUCAAUGAAGUUACUAUGCUAUCUUUUCUAUAUCAGGCCAGAGGCUAUACUUUAGUUGCAUCGAGUCCAGAAACUUUGACGCGUGUGAAGAAAGUAAGAGGCUGUUCUUUAACCUGUUGGGAUGCACUGCAGGCUGCAUUGCCUGUUGGGACCAUCUGUGGAGCACCAAAGGCUACACUCUAGACUUUAAACUUGUUGGUCAUUCAUUGUUGAUAGAAAUGUUACAAAUCCAGGGAUAACUUGUUCCCAACCAAACGAGCCUAUCUAUUUGUCUUAAUACUAUAAGGACCAAAGUCGAAGUUUCAUUCAUUUCUAGAUUUAACAUGCUGCUACAAAUUUGUACACUAUUUAAUUAUUUCUAGUCCUGUUCUUUGUUCAUGGAUGAUCCAGGCGAUGGAGUUGAUCGAUCAACUAGAAGUGGUUCGGAGAGGGCCUUACAGUGGUGGAUUUGGAGGCAUUUCAUUUUCAGGUCCGGACGGAUCAUUUUGGGAUAGUGGCAUAGUUGACUCGGGUCCCAAGCCUCUCGGUGCGAGUCUAUGUCAUUAGGGGUUUUAGCUUUUAUGAUUUGGCCUAUAUUGGACCUCAAUCAAUAUUCUUAGUAAAUAUGUCCAGAUGAGAACUCCAUCAACACAUUUAGCUCUAGAAUGUCAAGUUUUGUUUAGAACGACCCUUCAUAUGAAUCCCGAGGCUCUUGAGCUAAUUAAGAGCCCCAUGGUGGAUUGUGGCUUAAAACGGAGUUUGAGUGUGGACCCACUUUUUGUUGAGACAACCUCGGAUGAAAGUUUAAAAUGCUCAGUUGAGUUUAGAAUGCCAAAUUUUAUAGGAUUGCAUAUCUCAUUUGCAUGCGCGGGGUUCCAAACAAAUUUCAAGCACCCGUCAGAGAUUUUGAGUUUAAAUGUUUAAAAGUUCUGUUUUUAAGCCUUUUAUCACUUGAGUAAGUCUUCCGCUAAGUAGUCAGCCAGGCCAAGGGUUUGCUUGGGGACCAACAAUGGUUCUCGAGUGCCGGCCACAUCCAGGGUGUAGGCUCGGGGCGUGACAAUCAAAGUAUGUUUCUCAUUCACAUAAUUCUCUUUCUAAGAUGUGUGUUGUACUAUAAAACUUCUAUUCAGGUCCAUAUUAUUCCAUGAAUUUCUUUUUCUGUUUUUUAUUUGUAGUCAUGAAUUGGUCAACUACAACUCAAGCAUCAAUCAAUCGUCUUCAAUAUGAUGGCAUUUCGUUUGUAUUUUCCACAACAUUUGACAUGAAUAUCUAUAUUUGACAUGAUCAUAUUGAUUUUUUUUAUUUUGUUAAAUAUUAAGAAAUUUAAAUUAUUUGAUCCACGACGGUUGGUUAGAAAGCUAGAAAGGAAGGAAUCAUUUCAUUUAUCCUAAAUUACAAUAAUAACAUGUAUUAUGUGCAAUUUUUUUUUUUUUCCAACACUUUGCCUGCAUUGAUCUUGGAGUGCAAGAAGUUACAAGUUGAGUUUGGCAUCCCAAACUAUAUACAAGAUCAUUGAGAAGAGGCUAUUAUAUUUGUACUAUUCCUAACCAAAAAAGGCCCUAAUUGCCGAGAAAUCUAAGGAGGUUCGUAAGUAACAUUGCUAUCCUUCACCUUUUUGAUUCUAAGGGAGGGAAAACCCCAUUUGUCCAUAUUAGUAAGCCAUUUAAUAGAUGUUGGCAGAUCAGAAAAGGAGUUGAAUAUUUGGAUUCUAUUACUUCCAUGCAGUGGCAGAUCCAGGAUUUAAAGGUUGUGGGUGCUCACUUCCAUUAACAUUAGCAAUCACAUAGUGUAAGUGUAUACUAACUCAAACUCUUGGGUGCUCACUUCCUUUAACAUAAACAUGUUAGCAAUCACAUAGUGUAAGCGUAUACUAACUCAAACUCUUUAAUAAAAAAAAGUAAAAAAAAUAAAACAACGAUUAAUAUUAUCAUCAUCAAAAACAACCACUAGUUAUAAGUCACAAUGACCUACUAGUAAUAUUAUCAUUACAAAAAGAGACUUCUAGUCUUAAAGUUAUAAUUGUGCUCGACGCCUUUUCAUAUGUUGAAAACGAUAAAUUAAUAGCAUCAUUGCUUACAUUUGCGAAUAUCUUACGCUCUACAUAGCAAACUAAACAACCAUUCAAAAAUUCAUCACCAAUACUAUUACAAAGUUCAUUUUUAAUGUAUUUCAUGGAUGAGAAAGCUCGUUCCACAGAAGCAGUAGCAACGGGAAGAAUGAGAGUCAACUUGAUAAGCAAAUAAACAAGUGGCCAAAUUUGAUGCAAAUCUGACUUGACCAAUACUUUAACAAGAUCACUAAUUCCCUUCAAGUUGAAGAACCUCUUGUCAAAACCACGAACAUAAACUAUAAAGUUAUCAAGCUGAAAACUGAGAUCCCGAAGCUUGUUGUUGUCAAACUCAUACAUAUAAUAUUCAGCCAACCUCAUUAUCUUGCCCUUAUCAAAACUACCAAAUGAAUUAACUGGAUUCAAACUAGCCAUACCGAGAAGUAAGUCAGUACUCACAACAUCAAAACGAUUAUUAAGCUCUUGAAGAUGCAAAUCAAUAACAACAUAAAAUCUUUCAACACACAAAUGAUGAGAAUAUGUAACAUCAAGAGCUUUACGCUUUGACUUCCUAGGAAAGUAGCUAGCAUCCAUCUCCGGAAUGACUAUAUAAUGUUUAUCACAAAAAGAAGAAACAUCAUUCAUUAAUGAUUCGAAUUCAUUAUCCCUUAUAUUUUGUAAUCUUUGCUUUGUAAGAGCAAGAAAUCCCAUAGCAUUGACAAUAUCUUGAUCCAUCCUUUGUAAUGAGGAGUUCAAUUCAUUUGUCAUCAUAAGAACUUUCCACAUCAAGUGCAGCAUAAAGGCAAAAUAAAAUUUCUUAAUCGUAUCCACAAGAGUUUUAGCAAGUCUAUCAGUAUAGUUUGGACACUCGCAUCCAGUAAAUUCAAGCACAUGAAUAACUGAUGGAAAUAGAACAAUAAGAUUAUCUAAUGUUCUAUAAUGAGAACCCCAACGAGUAUCACCUGGCUGCUGAAGCCCACGUUCUUGAUUUAAUCCUUGCCCAGUAUGCACUUCCCCUGAUAUGACCAACUCCUCUAACUGUUCAGCUUGGUGUUUCCAAAGUAAAUCCCUGCGCUUAAAAGAUGCUCCAACAAUAUUUAACACAUUAGUAACUAAGCAAAAAAAGUCAUCUACAUUUGAAUCCUUCUUUGCAAGAGCCACUAGUGUUAACUGCAAUUGGUGGGCAAAACANNNNNNNNNNNNNNNNNNNNNNNNNNNNNNNNNNNNNNNNNNNNNNNNNNNNNNNNNNNNNNNNNNNNNNNNNNNNNNNNNNNNNNNNNNNNNNNNNNNNNNNNNNNNNNNNNNNNNNNNNNNNNNNNNNNNNNNNNNNNNNNNNNNNNNNNNNNNNNNNNNNNNNNNNNNNNNNNNNNNNNNNNNNNNNNNNNNNNNNNNNNNNNNNNNNNNNNNNNNNNNNNNNNNNNNNNNNNNNNNNNNNNNNNNNNNNNNNNNNNNNNNNNNNNNNNNNNNNNNNNNNNNNNNNNNNNNNNNNNNNNNNNNNNNNNNNNNNNNNNNNNNNNNNNNNNNNNNNNNNNNNNNNNNNNNNNNNNNNNNNNNNNNNNNNNNNNNNNNNNNNNNNNNNNNNNNNNNNNNNNNNNNNNNNNNNNNNNNNNNNNNNNNNNNNNNNNNNNNNNNNNNNNNNNNNNNNNNNNNNNNNNNNNNNNNNNNNNNNNNNNNNNNNNNNNNNNNNNNNNNNNNNNNNNNNNNNNNNNNNNNNNNNNNNNNNNNNNNNNNNNNNNNNNNNNNNNNNNNNNNNNNNNNNNNNNNNNNNNNNNNNNNNNNNNNNNNNNNNNNNNNNNNNNNNNNNNNNNNNNNNNNNNNNNNNNNNNNNNNNNNNNNNNNNNNNNNNNNNNNNNNNNNNNNNNNNNNNNNNNNNNNNNNNNNNNNNNNNNNNNNNNNNNNNNNNNNNNNNNNNNNNNNNNNNNNNNNNNNNNNNNNNNNNNNNNNNNNNNNNNNNNNNNNNNNNNNNNNNNNNNNNNNNNNNNNNNNNNNNNNNNNNNNNNNNNNNNNNNNNNNNNNNNNNNNNNNNNNNNNNNNNNNNNNNNNNNNNNNNNNNNNNNNNNNNNNNNNNNNNNNNNNNNNNNNNNNNNNNNNNNNNNNNNNNNNNNNNNNNNNNNNNNNNNNNNNNNNNNNNNNNNNNNNNNNNNNNNNNNNNNNNNNNNNNNNNNNNNNNNNNNNNNNNNNNNNNNNNNNNNNNNNNNNNNNNNNNNNNNNNNNNNNNNNNNNNNNNNNNNNNNNNNNNNNNNNNNNNNNNNNNNNNNNNNNNNNNNNNNNNNNNNNNNNNNNNNNNNNNNNNNNNNNNNNNNNNNNNNNNNNNNNNNNNNNNNNNNNNNNNNNNNNNNNNNNNNNNNNNNNNNNNNNNNNNNNNNNNNNNNNNNNNNNNNNNNNNNNNNNNNNNNNNNNNNNNNNNNNNNNNNNNNNNNNNNNNNNNNNNNNNNNNNNNNNNNNNNNNNNNNNNNNNNNNNNNNNNNNNNNNNNNNNNNNNNNNNNNNNNNNNNNNNNNNNNNNNNNNNNNNNNNNNNNNNNNNNNNNNNNNNNNNNNNNNNNNNNNNNNNNNNNNNNNNNNNNNNNNNNNNNNNNNNNNNNNNNNNNNNNNNNNNUUUUAAUCACAAAACACUAAAUAUGUGAGACUCUAAAGUCUAAAUCUAUUUAUCAAGUAACAAAAAAAGUAUGUGGAAUAUAUUUUAAGAAUUAAGACUUAAAGAGUACUAGCCAUAAGCAAUGAAAAUCUCAAAACCUAAUUUCCCUAACCCUUUUUUUUCAUUAUCUAACUUUAAUCAAACAUUAAAUCUUAUUACCUUGCUUUUGUAUUUUGAUUUUGAAAAGAAAAAAGCUUGAAGUUUGUUGUUGGGUUGGUUGCUUUCUCUUUGAAACAAGAAGAAGAAGAAGAAUGAUUUCCUCGUUUUGUUAAAAGAAAAAAUUCCAUAAAAGUGGGCAGUGGAAAAGGUUUUAAAGCAUAGAAAAAGUUAAAAAUAAAAAAGAAAGAAAAAGUUAGUCACCCUAAACUAAUUAAGAAUAGGAAAAGUCAAAACAAGUACAAAAUUCGGAGUAAAAUAAGCCCCUAAUUAAAAAAAGGAAAAGUAAAAAAAAGGUGCAAAAUUCGCUGGAAAAAGUAAAAAAAAAAAAGAAUGGGGCUGACGGGAUUCAAACCCUCGCCCGCAUGCUUCGCGCGCGUUAUUUUUCAAUUGUUAACCAACGCACCCACGACUGCUAUUGUUCUAUGGGUUUUUCUUUAAUAAUGUAUUUAUCAUAUUUUCUAUAUAUAUAUACAAAAAAAAUUCCGGAGUCAAUGGGUGCUCGAGCAGACGAGCACCCAAAACUGACUACGGGGUCCGCCCCUGCUUCCAUGGCUUAGGGAGGCUAACUUAUCGGCAGUUUUGUUAGCUUCCCUGUAGCAAUGAGUGAUUGUAAAUUCAUUCUCUUCAACUAAUUUCUGAAUGUCUUCUAUGAGUCUUGAUUUAUGAGUGAUUGUAAAUUCAUUCUCUUCAACUAAUUUCUGAAUGUCUUCUAUGAGUCUUGAUUUAUGAGUGAUUGUAAAUUCAUUCUCUUCAACUAAUUUCUGAAUGUCUUCUAUGAGUCUUGAUUUAUGAGUGAUUGUAAAUUCAUUCUCUUCAACUAAUUUCUGAAUGUCUUCUAUGAGUCUUGAUUUAUGAGUGAUUGUAAAUUCAUUCUCUUCAACUAAUUUCUGAAUGUCUUCUAUGAGUCUUGAUUUAUGAGUGAUUGUAAAUUCAUUCUCUUCAACUAAUUUCUGAAUGUCUUCUAUGAGUCUUGAUUUAUGAGUGAUUGUAAAUUCAUUCUCUUCAACUAAUUUCUGAAUGUCUUCUAUGAGUCUUGAUUUAUGAGUGAUUGUAAAUUCAUUCUCUUCAACUAAUUUCUGAAUGUCUUCUAUGAGUCUUGAUUUAUGAGUGAUUGUAAAUUCAUUCUCUUCAACUAAUUUCUGAAUGUCUUCUAUGAGUCUUGAUUUAUGAGUGAUUGUAAAUUCAUUCUCUUCAACUAAUUUCUGAAUGUCUUCUAUGAGUCUUGAAAUCAUCCACGGGGGCUUCCAGACCUUAUUUAUGCAAUUUGUAAGGAGUAGAGAAUCAGUUUCUUCCCAAACUGUUCUAGAGCCAUGAGUUGAGCACCAUUUCAGCCCAUACAUCAUUGCAACUGCUUCAGCAUAGUUGGUCAUCCCUGGUCCUAGCGGUAUAGAAUAUGCAAAAAUGAUCUUUCUAGUGGAGUCUCUUACAGUCCCUCCUCCUCCGCAUGUCCCGUUUACACAGCUUCCAUCACUGUUAAGUUUCAGUGUAUCAAAGUGAGGUCUGAUCCAUUGCACAAUGAUGACAUCCUUUUGAUGUAUGUUGUAGUCACAAGCUUGGCAUAUUGUUGUCCAAUCACUACUAAAAAACUGCCAAAAAGAGACGGAAAAAAGCGACGGACUGCGUCACUUUUUUUUUAAAAAAUAUUUUUUUUGAAGAAUGCGACGCCGUCCUUUGUUUUUUUCUUUUUAAUUUUAAAAAAGAGACGAAGUCCGUCGCUUUAAUUAAUUUUUAUUUUUUUUAGAAUCUUGAAAAGCGACGGACAAUGAGACGCCGUCCGUCGCUUUUUUGGAAAUAAAAUUUUGAAAAAUUCAAAAAAGCGACGAACUAAAGGACCCUAUUCGUCGCUUUUCUCGGUUUAAAAAAAAUAAAUUAAAAAAAGCGAUGGACAAAACCACCCUGUCCGUUGCUUUUUCUGCAAUUUUUUUGGCAGCAGAAACUGGCAGUUUUUGCGCCAGUUUCUGCUGCCCACCUGCAAAAGCAAUUCAACUCAAUUCAAUUCAAUUCACCCCCAAUCAAACACAAAACAUUAUAAACAAGCUACACAAAAUAUAAAACAACAAACUUAAAUUAACAUUCAAAAAUAUCUAAAUCACAAUAUAAAGACUUAUAAAGUCUUUCAAAAUUUGUUUCAAAAUUACAAAUAGUUCAUAAAGACUACAUUUUAUCAAGAUUUCUAAAGUUCAACCUAAUAAUUAGUUCAUAAAUUCUAUAAAUCAAGAUUCCUAAAGUUCACAAUCUAAAGUUUAAAAUCCUACAAUAAUUCAAGAUUUCUAAAGUUCACAACUUAAAGUUCUAAAAUUCCACAAUAAUUCAAGAUUUAUAAAGUUCACAACCUAAAGUUCUAAAAUCUUACAAUAAUUCAAGAUUUCUAAAGUUCAAAACCUAAAGCUCUAAAAUCCUACAAAAAUUCAAGUUCUGUAAAGUUCACAACUUAAAAUUCUAAAAUCCUACAAAAAUUCAACUUCUCUAAAACNNNNNNNNNNNNNNNNNNNNNNNNNNNNNNNNNNNNNNNNNNNNNNNNNNNNNNNNNNNNNNNNNNNNNNNNNNNNNNNNNNNNNNNNNNNNNNNNNNNNNNNNNNNNNNNNNNNNNNNNNNNNNNNNNNNNNNNNNNNNNNNNNNNNNNNNNNNNNNNNNNNNNNNNNNNNNNNNNNNNNNNNNNNNNNNNNNNNNNNNNNNNNNNNNNNNNNNNNNNNNNNNNNNNNNNNNNNNNNNNNNNNNNGUUUCAUAACCUAAAGUUCCUACAAUAAUUCAAGUUCUCUAAAGUUCACAACUUCAAAUUCUAAAAUCCUACAAAGAUUGAAGUUCUCUAAAAUUCACAACUUAAAGUUCUAAAAUUAUACAAUAAUUCAAGAUUUCUAAUGUUUCAUAACCUAAAGUUCCUACAAAAAUUCAAGUUCUCUAAAGUUCACAACUUUAAGUUCUAAAAUCCUACAAUAAUUCAAGUUCUCUAAAGUUCACAACUUUAAGUUCUAAAAUCCUACAAUAAUUCAAGUUCUUUAAAGUUCACAACUUAAACUUCUAAAAUUUUACAAUAAUUCAAGAUUUCUAAUGUUCACAACCUUAUAAAGUCUAAAAUCCUANNNNNNNNNNNNNNNNNNNNNNNNNNNNNNNNNNNNNNNNNNNNNNNNNNNNNNNNNNNNNNNNNNNNNNNNNNNNNNNNNNNNNNNNNNNNAAUUUAAGUUCUCUAAAGUUCACAACUUAAAGUUCUAAAAUCCUACAAAAAUUCAAGUUCUAUAAUGUUCACAACUUAAAGUUCUAAAAUCCUACAAAAAUUUAAGUUCUCUAAAAUUCACAACUUAAAGUUCUAAUAUUCUACAAUAAUUCAAGAUUUCUAACGUUUCACAACCUAAAGUUUUGAAAUAUUACAAAAAUUCAAGUUCUCUAAAGUUCACAACUUAAAGUUCUAAAAUCCUACAAUAAUUCAAGAUUUCUAAUGAUCACAACCUUAUAAAGUUCUAAAAUCCUACAAAAAUUCAAGUUCUCUAAAGUUCACAACUUUAAGUUUUAAAAUCAUACAAUAAUUCUAGAUUUCUAAAGUUCACAACCUAACGUUCUAAAACCAUAUAAUAAUUCAAGAUUUCUAAAGUUUACAACCUAAUUAAAGUUCUAAAAUCCUACAAAAUUUCAAGUUCUAAUUAAAUUCAAUAAUUCCUAUCCAAUUUCUAAAAUUAGUUAUAUAUAAACUUCUAAUCCAAGAAUUAAUUAGUUAUAUUCAAGUUCCAAGUUCAAGUUCAACUUCAAGUUCUAAAUUCAAGUUCAUAUCUAGUUAUAUAUAAACUUCUAAUCCAACAAUUAGUUAUAUAUUCAAGUUCUAAUUCAAAAAAAACCUCAUCGAUCAAUAUACAUUCAUGACAUUCAAACAUUCAUCACUAUAUACUCAUGACACUCAAACAUUCAUCAUAUACACUUCAAUUACUAAUUUCUAACUUCAAAGUAACACUUUACUAACCAUCAAUAUAUCAAUCAAUAUUUUUAAAAAUCUCAAUUCACAGUCAAAUUACAUAUUCUCAAGUUCAAAUUAGUCCUAAAAUAAAAAAAACCCUAAUUCAUUCACUAAUUACAAUACCCAAUUUAAAAAUGCCCAAUUUUAAAGAAAACCCUAAAAUAAAAAAUCUCCAAUUCUCUACCUAACUAACAAUAAUCAAAUCAAAUUAACAAUAACACAACCCAACAAACUAAAACAAUAAUAUACUAACUAACAAUCAACUAUAAUCACUAGAAUUGAAAAAAAAUAAUCUAAAACUAAACACCAACCUUAACAAAUAGGAGAGGCAGCGACGGGCUGUCACGCCCCGAGCCUACACCCUGGGCGAGACCGGNNNNNNNNNNNNNNNNNNNNNNNNNNNNNNNNNNNNNNNNNNNNNNNNNNNNNNNNNNNNNNNNNNNNNNNNNNNNNNNNNNNNNNNNNNNNNNNNNNNNAUUAUCAAUUAGCUCAAUUUUUACUUUUGUUUUAUGGGAAAUGAAUGGAAUGUAUUACCGUUUGGAUAUAAAAACGCACCAGGCAGAUAUCAACACUUUAUGGACAAUUACUUUAAACAAAUAGAAAGUUGUGUAGUAUAUAUUGAUGAUAUAUUAUUAUAUUCCAAAACACAAGAUGAACAUAUAAGAUUAUUAGAAAAAUUUGAUUCCCAAAUAUUCCAUCCCUACCUUAAGCCGACAUCACAACCAAAUGAAAGUCCUCUUGAUUCCUUGAGAAGUAUAAUGCGAAAGUAAGAACACACUAUGGGCAAGCUUAUGGUAUGUUGAGGAAAGUAAGAAUUUGUUUUGUGAGAGUGAGUUGAUUACUUGAAAAAAAUAGGCCUUGUUGAGUUUGAAAUUGUUUGAGUGAAAGGCUUUACUAAACAUAAACAAGUGAGGGCAUUCAUGGCAUGUGUAGGAUUAUCUAAUUGAUAUGUGGUAUAAGUUUGCAUUAGCCCGGAAAAAUAACAAAAGAGUCAUUCUUUGAGCGUGUGUUGUACUUGGUGUAAAUGUUAUGAAUUGUUGCAUCCAAAGUGAACUACAAGAUCAUGAUUUAAAAAAUGUAUGGUUGAUUUUAAGGGGUUGAUAAGUCCAAGGGUUAUGAAAAAGAGUUGAUAAGUUUGAAGAUUGUUUGAGGACAAACAAAAGUCUAAGUGUGGGGUGGUGAUCUUAGGCAUAUUUAUAUGCCUAUGUUGUCAAUAUUGCCCAUGAAUUGAUUAAUUGAAGAAUGAUCUUUAAUUGUUAGCUUGAAUUUUGGUGUAACUUGUGAUAAUUAUGUACUCACACAUAUGAUUAGAUGUUUCAGGAACUCUAGAUGAAAUUGGAGUUGGAGCGAAGAAAGAAGGAGAAAAAAUGAGCAAGAAAACGACCAAGGCAAAAAUCAGCAGUGCUGGGCGCGCUGAGAGGCACACCGCGCCAUAGGAUGCCGGACUGGGGCAUGUUUGGGGAGCGCUGUUGGGUGCGACGCGCCAGAGGAUGCCGGACUGGGACAUGUUUGGGGUGCGCUGCUGAGCGCGACGCGCCAGGACUUCAAGAAUGCAGGCGCCUCUGUGGCGUGAUGGCAGGCGCGACACGCCAAAGAAAUGCCGACUUUUCCAGCUAAAAAAUCAUUAAAUAGGAUUCCUAAAUGUAGUGGGAUUUGACUCCAACUUUUCUAACUCUUAUAAAUAGACUCCUAGGGCUCCAUUGUGAGGGUCGACUUUUUGAUUUAGUGUGCAAGAGCAAGAAUUCAAGUUUGUACUAGGUUUUAAUCCAUUAACUCUUCUAUUUGCUAGAAAUUGCAUGAACUAUUGUAUUUUCUUGUUUUCUAAUAGGAUGAGUGUUGAAGUUUGCUUUUAGUUACUGCAGUAACUUUUAGCAAAAUAAGUUAUUUAAUUUGAAUAAAUUUGAAAUUUGAAUUUUAGUUAGUUUGUUUAUGUUGUUGAGAUAUUUUAGGUUGUUUAAAUUUUAAAUUAUGUGUUUUAUGUUGGCUAUUUAAAGCCCCUCAAUGCUUAAUAAAAUUAUUGGAAGCUAUUGAAAAUCAUUUCAAUCCAUUGAGAGACAUUUUCAAUCUUUUUGUGCUGCCCCAUUUUUAAAAAUACACCAACAAUGGUAUCAAGAGCUUCAUUGAUUUUAAGGGAUCUGUGAAAUCUUCCAAAGAACUACCAUACAUUUUUAACCCGUAAGGGUUACCUUUUUAACCCGUCAGUGCUACCCAUUUUAACCCAUCAGAGCCACCUUUUCAACCCGUGCAUUUUUGAACGCACAGGCUUUUCUGAACCAACAUUUUAAACGAAAACAAUGGCAAGCAACAGUCUCUCUUUGAAUGCCCCAAAAAUUUUCACUGGUGAAAACUAUCAGAUUUGGUCAGUGAAAAUGAAAUCAUAUCUUGAAGACUAUGAUCUGUGGCAAGUUAUGAUGGAAGAAAAAGCCUUACAACCUCUACACAAGACAAUGUCAUCGCAUGUGUUUUUGAAGAACAAAAUCAAAAGAUGAAAAAGAAAAAAGAAGAAAUUUUGCAAGUUCAAAAACAAUGAAAAAAACUACCAAAGCAAAAAUUGAGGAGGAACAUUUUUUUUCAAAUGCAGUAACUAAAGCAAAGGAGGAGUGUUGAAGUUUGCUUUUAGUUACUGCAGUAACUUUUAGCAAAAUAAGUUAUUUAGUUUGAAUAAAUUUGAAUUUUGAAUUAUAAUUAGUUUGUUUAUGUUGUCUAGAUAUUUUAGGUUGUUUAAAUUUUAAAUUAUGCAGAUUAUGUGUUUUAUGUUGGCUAUUUACAACCCCUCAAUGCUUAAUAAAAUUAUUGAAAGUCAUUUCAAUCAAUUGAGAGACAUUUUCAAUCUUUUUGUGCUGCCCCAUUUUUAAAAAAGCACCAACAAUGAGUAGCUAAACGCCCUAGUUCUGGGGCUGUAGCUACGAAUUGAUUGUUGAUUAUUUGAGGUUGUUGUAUUAAUUUUCGGUUAUCAAUACAAAUUGCUUCUAUAUUCUUGUUUUAGUAUUUUAUGCUUGCGCACCAUAAGAUAAAUCUAUUGUCUAAUCUUACAAUCGGGAGAGGAGAGGUUAGAUAGACCAGAGAAUAUAGAGAGCUCGGUCCACCCAUUAAAUUGAGGUGAUAGUGUUCAGGAGUGACGCCCAGACGAACACCUUGCUUGGUUACGAAAUAGGAUGAAAUAUAAAUGCUCGCCAGUUAGUCUAUUUAGCCCCGCUCAACGAUAUAGUUAGAUAGCUAAGUGGGGUAGGCGACGAGAGGCGUAUAACCCAGAUCAUAUCAUCAACCCUAUAAACCAGUAACUUAGAGAACUGAAAUUAGUUCUAAGCCAAUAAUAUGAUACAUGAUAUUCUUUAUACGUUGCAGCCCUGGAAUUGCUUUUAACUUGCUUGAAACAUUAUAUCAAAGUCGUUCACAAUUAGUUACUUUCAAUUAGUACAUAAUUAUUAGUAGAUAAACAAUAAAUCAUCAACUCUUGAAAAUGUUACUUUUACUUUUAGUUGUAGAAUUAAGUGAAUAUAAGUUGAUCAUAUGUCCCUUGGGAAAGAUAACUCGUUUCUUUAAUUAUCUAUAUUACUUACGCGACCACGUACACUUGCGUGUAUAUUGGGGAGUAACAAAUCCCAAAAGGAAUUCUUUAAAUAUGAAAAAUUGGUAUCGAAAUGUUUAAGAUUUGAAUACAUCUAAUUUUAGAUGUAUAAAUAGUACUACAGAACAAACCUGAAACAUUAUAUGAAAUUUAAGUUAAUUUUAGAGUCCAUCAAUUUUUUCCUUAUAAUUUGUAAAUAUUUUAUGUUAUUAAUUAUUGUGAUUUAUAGUAUUUUUUACAUAAUUUUCAAAUAAUAUAUAUUACUCAUUCUGUCCUAAUUUAUUUAUCAACGAUAGUUCGAGAUUCAAAUAAAAAAUUAUGUCUUUUAAAUAUUUUAAAUUGUCAAUUAUUGUGAUUUAUAAUACUUUUUAUGUCAUUUUCAAAUAAGAUUUGUUUCUCCCUCUAACUCAAUUUAUACGUGGAAAAAGGGCCUGACAAUCCCCUCAACUUUGUCAUUUGGAGCUGAUAUGCCCCUUGUUAUCAAAGUGGCUCAUAUAUACCCCUACCGUUAUAGAAACGGCUCACAUAUACCCCUACCAUUACAAAAUGAGCUCACACAUACCCUUCAUUUAACGGAAGUGAAAAAUUAGUUUAAAAUUUAUAUGUCACGAUAUAAUUUUGAAAGUCAACCAAAUUUUUUGCAUCUUUAAAUUUUUAAGUUGUUUGUUAUUGUGAUGUGUAGUACUUUUUAGUCAUUUCAAAUAAUAUAUAAUAUUUUCUAUGUCCCAAUUUAUGUGGAACCGAUUAAAUUUUUAAAGUCAAUAUAUUUUAAGUAGCUAAUUAAUGUGAUUUAUAGUAUUUUUAUAUAAUUUUCAAAUAUAUAACAGAUGGAAAAAGAAAAAUAAGACAAACAAAUUAAAAUGGAAAAAGUAUAAAACUUUUGGCGGCUUUUUUAAAUGAUCAAAUUGUCCCUAUAUAGAAAGCAAACAUGUUGACGAUCAAUUACCUGCUUUCUAGACUCAUACUAAUAGUAGUAAUAUUUGAAAUUUAAGUUGAUUAAUUUCUUUCAUUAUUUUUUUAAUUUCAGUUUUUCACAUUGGUGGUAAAGAUUGAUAAAAAAAUACACAAAAUAUUUUGCACCUUUGUGACGUAUAAAUUUGCAAGUAGACAUUAUCUAUUGUUUUUUUAACAUGGAAUAACAGCUAAAACUAUAUUAUUAUUUUUCACAGAAGCAAAUAGACUAAUGAAGUUUAUGGAUAACCUAAUAUUCGUGUCCAAAACUUAAAUAAUUUUAAGACAAAAAUUAGUCCAUCAUAAAAUGGUAAAUUAUUAGUGACAAAAAGAUCACGUCACUGAUAACCUAAUAUUCGUGGCUAAUUUUACUCAUUAAAUUGCGCCAACUUAUAUUUUAGCAGAAAAUGCUAGAGGACAAAAUUUUUACUUCGAAAUAUUGUAUUUCGUCACUAAAAAUAUGUGACUCGUGCAUUUAAGCACGAAAUGUAAUUUUAUCACCAAAAAAAAAUAAUUAGUGACAAAUUUUGUAUAGUAGCUAAUAAUUUUGUAGCUAAAUAUCACAUUUGUUGUAGUGUACCCCAACGUGACAUCCGUACCAAUCCAUGCAGCCCUAGAUUAUUCCUUUCUUGCUUGAAUUUCUAAUUUUAGUUUAAUUUUGAUACUUGAUACUUCAAACCUUUUUAUUAAAUUUGGUGGAAUCAUCCACUCUUUUGUUCUAAAGUGCUACAAUGAAUAGAUUAGUAUUCUUAAUUUCCUGAUUGAAUUCUUAUCCUUACACUAUUCCUUGUGGGAUUCAACCCAACUCUUUGUUGGGUAUUUUUAUUGAAAACGAACGCUUAAUCGUCUAAUUGUUUUUUAGGGGUAAUUUUGAGCUUUAUUAAAAAUGGCGCCGCUGCCGGGGAAUGGUAGCUAAGAAUUCAAUUAGUGAAGUUGCUUUGUGAGCUUGUUGAGUUGUUGUUGAUUGUUGUUUGGUGUUGUUGUAUUUCCUAUUUAUCAUAUAUUACUAAAAGUGGGAAGCUCCAAAGUGCAAAGUUGGAUUGCCAUUUUACCCCUACAUUAUAUCAAAAUAUUAUAAAUUAUAUAUAUUAAUUAAUUAUUAAUUAUUAAUCCAACUCCAAAAUUAUUUUUAUUUAUCAAUUAUGAAUUAUGUCUCUUCAAUGGCUCAAUCCCAUUUUCCAACAACCAUACAACUUCAGCUAUUUAAAUCGUAUAUUAUUUUCUAUUUUUAAAGCAUUAUUUAGUUAGUUUUCCGUAUUAAAUUAAAUAUUUUAUGUUUCCAAAGCAUUUAUUUUUUUUCGUAUUAAAUUAAGUAUUUUCAGUUUUCUAAUCAUUUAACUAAUUGAAUGGUAUAACUAAUACAUAGACUCUUCAGAUUUGGAAUAUGAAUAGUUAUUUUCAUUUUCUAUAUAUAUAUUGUAAACUAAAUAUCAUUUUUUACUUCUAAUCCUUUUAUAGUUUUCUCUUGUAUUUACUUAGCCCUUCUGUUUACUAAUUACUAAUUUUUAUUUAUUUUUCUUUGCUUCAGAUCUUAUCUUGCAAUUGUGAACUGUUCCCUUCUCCAUCGCAUCAUCAGGUACAUAAUAGAUAUGAGAGUCAUAUCAUUGAAUUUAUGCUUAGUCAUGAAGAAGGUAAACAUACAUUAGGUCAAUUCACUAGGAAUCUUUUUAGUUUGUUAAGAUGCGUCUCAUUAGGAAAUAUAGAGAACUUGUAUUGUUUGAGAUCUAUAAAUUAGUAGUAAAUACUAGAAUGAAAUGGGUCCAAAUAGAGUGAAAUGAAUAGUGAGAAUGCAUAUGCCGACUCUAAGAAGCAUGUAAUUGAGGUAUGAUUGUAAUGGGAUUAAAAAAGUAAUAGAAGUAGAUGGAUUGUUGUAGCCGAUAAGUAACUGCUAACAAACUGAUAUAAAAACAUUAUGAGUUCUGUCAUAUAUACUAUAUUGUUACAUGCUAUAGGGUUUGACCAAAUGAUGACAAAAGCUUUCACUAGAAAACAAAGUAAAGCUUAAUGUUGACCAAACAACAUGAUCUGAACUUACGUGUUUGGGUCCAAUAAUCUCAAAUUGGGCUUUCGACUGUCAUCACAUAUACACAUAGCAUAUGAAUAAUCAUAAACAAGGAUUGUACCAUUGUCUUUAGAAAGUUGCACCACUUUAGUCAGCUACACCCCUGAUGCUCCCAAAUCAUUAUUUCAACCAUUUGUAUUAAGCUCUAGCUUGUUUGUGAAUAUGGAUUGAUUAUGUUAUAUUUCAUAAUACUAUUAUACUUAAACAAUUUAGUUAAUAUUCUCAUAGAAAAUUUACACAUGAAGGAUUCGUAAUCUUAAAUCAAACAAAGAAAGUUGUACAUGCAAUUAUCUAUUACAAAUAAAUAUGAUGUUUUUCAAGUGUACCAUGUGAAAUUGACAACGAUACAUUAUCCAUCUUAAAUAAGACAUAUAUUAAUCAAUAUUUCUACAUUAUGAAAUACAUUUUUUCUUCGGAAACAUCAUCUUGAUAUGUAUGUAUGUAGAUAUAAGGAGGAGACUAUAGUUUCUUAAAAACAAGACACAAACUUUAAGAUAUGAAACAUUUACAAACACAAUCAACGUUACUUAUGUUUACCUAUAAACUAUAUGUUAUUGAAAUAUUAAAAAAAAUAAGGAAAAGUGCCACACUGAGUAUAAGAUAUAUGAGAACUACAUAAGAAAAAUGUUAUAUCAAUAUAAUUGACUGUUUAAAGCUACAAACAAUAACCCUUUCCUAAAUUUAGUCACUUAUUACUCACAUGUUUUACUAUCAUCUUUAUCAUUUUAAAAAAUUGUACUAAUUAACAUUGGCUACACGUGCAACGCACGUGUACAAAAACUAGUAGGUAUAAACAUGAGUGAUAAUGGUAGUGAUGACGCUAGUCACGACUGGUAAAAUGAUCUGUUGGUUGACUUGAAUGGCAUGCACAUGAAUAUGUUGAGAUGAAUGGAGCUAUCAGAUUACUUCAUACAACAAGGAAAGCAAUGUACCAGAACAAUUCUACAACUACUCCAAAUGAGAGGAAUGUUCGGGGUCUUAGCUCAUAAGGAUCCUCAUGAACACCUUCGAAACUUUAUGGAUAUUUGUGGGUUGUUCAUCUUGAAGAAUAUCUCACAAGAAUCUAUUCGGCUGCGAUUAUUCCCAUUCCCCUUAACGGAGGGAACCUACUAGAUGAUUGACUGAGUUGCCGAAUGAUUCUAUGACUUCUUGGGAGGAUUUAAUUAAAGCAUUCUUAGAGAGAUUCAUUCCUCCAUUGAAAAUGGUCAAAAUUAGGGACAACAUCUAGAACAUUAAAAGAGUGGAAGGAAAUAUUGUAACACCUCAAAAUUUAGAAAUAUAAAGAAGGUCAAAGAGGACUACUGGUUCAAGUCUACGAGACUAGUCUAUGGUUCGUAGGAAGUUCUACGGUUCAGAGACCAGUCUCAUAGGAAGUGGGAAAGUGAUUUGGAAAUCAAGUCUAGUAAUUGAUUCUACGAUUGACCAAUAUGGUAUGGCGAAUGGACUACGGACCGUAGGAAGGUCCCAUGGAAGGGUCCCAGACUUAGUAAAAUUUUGAGUUGAAAAUUGAGGUCUACGGAUGGGUUCCAUUGACCAUAGAAAUUUACGGUCCAUAGAAAUGGGUCGUAGGAUUUUCCCAAGACGUAAGCCCCAGUUGUUCGACUUACAAUUAAUAGUAUGGUCCGUAUGAAUUUCUAUGGUCCAUAGUUUGCAAUCAUAGGGUCAGCCAGUAGUUAUUUUAAAAGUUUAUUUGUGACAUUCCCUAUGCACCAAAAUUUUAUACGAUGUCGUCUUGCCUAUAAAUAAUCCCCUAUGACUAAUUUUACCCCUAAAUCUACCCAUUCUCCAAAAAUUUCAAAAGUUCCUCUCCAAGGUUUCUAUCCAAGGCUCUUAAUGAAUUUCUAGUGGUUUUCAAGUCUUCAAUGUUUCUUCAUCAAUUGCUUGUGGGCUUUGAUAUUGAGAUAUGUAAGGAGUUCAUCAAUGGGUUCCAUUCACCAAUUGAGUCCCCAAUGAUUCUCCAUUUCCCCAAUUCAAUUUCCCUAAAUUGGUUAGGUUUUUAUUCAAUUCCCCGUGGGUUCUAUAUGUAUGGAUUUAAAUUGUUUGAUUUUGAUUAUAUUAUGACUAGGUAAAUUACCCGUGCUUCGCACGGAAUUGAACUAUUUUAUUAAGAUUACAUAUGAUCAUUUGGUAAUAUUUGUAUUUUCGAUACAUACACUACAUUGUUAAGAACAUUUUAUCUUAAGGCAAAGCGUUCCUCUGAAAUCUUAAAGGCUAUAUCUUUUCAAUUUUCGUUUUUGUUAUACAAAAAUUAUGAUUCAUAGAGAGAUUUUAAGUAUAAAAAAAGAAGUGUAAGCAAAUAUCCAUGGAAAUAGUGUGUCAGAAGUAAUUAAAUUUUCUAAAUUCCAAGAAGUUAUAAAGAACAACAUUAGACAUUAAAAAAGAGACCAAAGAGGCUCGAACAACAACACUCCCAAGUAAAGUGGAACAUCACAUCUAUAUAAGAACAUAAUUAACUAAAUUCUAAUAGAGUACCUUCGGCUCCUUUCUUAUGAACCUCCAUCAAUCUCUUUUUUAUUAUAGUAUGUCGUAUCAUGUAUAUGUUAAAAAUGACCCUAAAAUUGUUAGUAUCUUAAAUGUUUUUCCUCAUUGUCUCAAAAUAGUCAUUACUAUUGCUUAGGUAUCAUACUAUAGUCCAAACUUAUUUGGAAUUGAACCAUAGUUAUUGUUAUGGUUAUAGUAUGUAGUUACAAAGAAUUUAUGCAAUUAUCAACCAAGAAGUAGGUGUCAUCUGAAUGGAACUGUUCACAAUAGGAUAUUCUAAACCAAAAUUUUGACACAUAACAUAUUAAAAUCUCACAACAUAAUUUUGUGAGAACAUGAACUCACAAAUAUCCACAAAUAAUAAUAAAGAGGACCUUACUUUCCUAAUAAUCAAGAAGAAAAAGCCAAUGUUGCUUAACAUAUUUUUCAAAAAGAUAGUCGGUCGGGUGUAUCCAAGUUUACAGUUCACAAAUUUAAUUGAAAGAGUUCAAAAGAAGUCACCAAAAUAACAUAAAGAAAUUGCAAUAGAUACAUGAAUCACUAUGACUUACGGUAAAAGAUUAAGCUUCAUGAAAUAGGAGGAAGAAAACUUUGAGGAAUGAAACAGACGUCAUAAGAAGCUUAAUUAAUGUAUUUGAAUUCGACUCCCCUAUAGAGAAAAAAAUCUACAAAUAAUAGUGGCAGAAAUAAAAGUUUUGUUUACUAAAGAACCAAAUGUAAUGAAUUCAACCAUUUCAGCAACGUUAUCAAUUGUGGAUUGAGAGGUGCAAGAGUAGUAAUGUCGCAUUGAUAUUAAAAUCACUUUUGUUUGUUUAUAUGAAGAAACCUAUACAAAAGGGUAAAAGAGAAGAUCAAUUUUCAAUCAUCCUUGCUGAAAUUUUUAACAAACUUAAAAAAAAAGUAACCAAAAUAGCAAAAAGAAAUUGUUAUAGUUACAUGAAUGAGUAUGACUUAUAGUAAAGUUUAAGCUUCAAGAAAUAGGAGGAAUAAAACUUUGAGGAAUGAAAUAACUUCAUAAGAAACUUAAUUAAUGCAUUUAAAUUCGACAACCCUAUAGCCGAAAAAAACUACAAAUAAUAGUGGCAGGAAAUACCUAUAUUUAUAGACAACAAAGGGUAGUGUGAACAAAAGCUUAUUGUGCCUUAUAGAAAAGAUCACAACUCUUUGGAAAAGUCAGAACUCUUUGAAAAAGUUACAACCCUUCGGAAAGGUCACAAACUUUCAUAAAAGUCGCAAUUUUUCAUAAAAGUCGUAACUCUUCAUAAAAGUCACAACUUUUCAAGUUACAACAUUUCAUAAAAUUCACAACUUUUCAUAAAAGUCACAACUAUUCAUAAAAGUCACAACUAUUCAUAAAAGUCACAACUAUUCAUAAAAGUCACAACUUUUCAUGAAAGGGGAAGACUAGUUUUGGAAAUAAAUAAAUUAAAAGGAAAUUCUGAUUUGUGGUGGCGCCAUGUAGGCGAGCCUAGGGUUCUCUUUUAUAUAUAUACUAGGUAAUUUUCCCGCGCUUUGCGUGGUCAUAAAUAAUAAUUGCAUUGAACUUGCAAAUAAUCCUUUAUUAAUAUCCAUACAUUAAAAAUAAUAGAAAAAUAGGUUCUUAAAUAAAUAUUUUGCAGGGGACUUUGGCCCAGUUAAUUAAUUGGGUUUUAGUUAACAAUGCCCAAGCCGAAGUCGGUUUCAGACUACUAUCCGGGCCUAGCUGAAUGGUUUGAUUUUUCAACGAAAGUUGGGUUUGAAAACAGGUACCAAAUUGUCUUGAUAAGGUGGGGAUGGUUCUGCCCCUUUCCCCAGGAAAUUGCUCUGAUUGACCGAGAUCUCGUGUUCUUUGAAGAGUGAUAUGACACCAUGCUAGUCGGACGGGAGCAAUAUUCCAACAUUAAUAUGAUUAUUUGUCAUUAUCACAUAACUCAAGAACCUCUAAUGAAUGAAUUAUUGAGGAAAUAAUAAAUAAUUGGUCAACAUUAAAAGGAAAAUAAAGAAGAAAAUAAGAAUAUAUAUAUACAAAGGCAUUUCAUAAGAAAAAGAACACAUUUAAGUUGCAUAGAAUAUACAAUUGUGAUAUAUGUCUCACAAAAAAAUUCAAAAAUUUGUUAACAAAUUCAAAAAAGAAAUUAUGCUUGAACAUGAAAGCAAUUAUAACUUUUGAACUUGCAUAAUGAAUUUCUUCAAUUGAUAAGUGAAAAACUCCAUAUCUAUGGUAAUAAUAGAUAAUAUGUAAGCCUAAUAUAUAGUACUUUUAAGUUAUAAAAUUUUAUAUAGAAUAUCAAAAACAUGAAUUCUUGGAACUGAGUACAAUAAUUAUUUUAUGCACAAUGAAUAUACCUACUAUAUGUGUAUAUAUUCAAUAUAACUGGAGAUAAUAACUUCGCAGAAACAUAAACAACAUAGUUUAAAACAUGUACUAAAAAACAACAAUUAAUAUCAUAAGCAUAAAUUAAUGACUAUAAAAAAAUAUCAGGAUAUGUAAAAAGAGAAUGAAAUAGAAGGAAAAAACCAAGUCAGUUGAAUGCACAGUGUCCCCUUAAGAAAAUUAUUCCCUCUAAUACCCAAGGUUUAAAGAAUUAGAUCCUCUCAGGAUGGAACAAUUUUUAUUCACCAACCGUAUUGAUACAAAGACAAUGGUGUCAGUAAGCCACUCAACAAGAGCAAAGUACAUGAAUAUUUUAAUUGUGCAGAAGAAGAAGAAGAAGUUCAGAAUUUUCGUUGCUUUAAAAUGAGAGGAAAUCCCUAUAUUUAUAGACAACAAAGGGUAGUGUGAACAAAUGCUUAUUGUGUCUUAUUCGAAAGGUCACUACUCUUUGGAAAAGUCACAACCUCUCAUAAACAUCAAAACCUUUCAUAAAAGUUGCAACUCUUCAUAAAAGUCACAACUUUUCAUAAAAGUCACAACUUUUCAUGAAAGGGGAAGGCUAGUUUUGGAAAUAAAUAAAUUAAAAGGGAAUUCUAGUUUGUGAUGGCGCCACGUAGGCGGGCCAAGGGUUCUCUUUUAUAUAUAUACUAGGCAAAUUACCCGUGCAUCGCAUGGGAUUGAACUAUUUUACUAAACUUACAUAUGGUCAUUCGGUAAUAUUCGUAUUUUCGAUACAUACACUACAUUGUCAAGAACAUUUUAUCUUAAGGUAAAGCAUUCUUCUGAAAUCUUAUAGUACAAUAUUUUUAAUAAAUUUUUUCAUUUUUUUUUUUAAAUAAAAAAAAAAAUUUAUGAGUUCAUAGGAGAGAUUUUUAAGUAUAAGAAAGAAGUCUAAGAAAAUCUCCAUGGAAAUAGUUGUUCAGAAGUAAUGAAAUUUUAUAAAUUUCAUGAAGUUAUAAAGAACACCAUCAGACAUUAAAGAAGAGACCAAAAAGCCUCGAACAACAACACUCCCAAUUAAAGUGGAACAUCACGUCCAUACAAGAACAUAAUUGACUACAUUCAAAUGGAGGACCUUCGACUCCUUUCUUAUGAACCUCCAUGAAUCUCUUUUUUAUCAUAGUAUUUUGAUUUAUGUAUAUGUUAAAAAUGACAAUAAAAUUGUCAGUAUCAUAAAUGUUUUUCCUCAUUGUCUCAGAAUAGUCAUUACUAUUGCCAGGAUUGAGAAGUGAAGAAAUAGGGGAAAUAUUUUUACUUGGAGAGUCUUGUAAGGAACUGAUAAUAAACCAUGUUUUUUAUGAGCUUUUUUUCGAGCCUUUGUAUCUGUGAUUUUCUUCAUUAUCUGCUGGAAAAAAUUCAGUAACUUUCUUCAAUAGAGACGAUAAUAUGUAUACCUCAAUCCAUACAAAAUGUUUGUACCUAAGAAAAAACAAUCAAAAUAAUAUACUAAAUGUGGAAAGCAAGAGAGUAAUCUGUUUGGUUCUUUUAACAAAUAUCAUCAUUAGUUCCAUAUUAGUAAUCACAUAAUUAUUGUUGUAUGCUAUCAAAUAUAACACAAUCCACAAGCAAUUUUCUCAAAAAGUAUAUGAAGAAACUUGUAAAAAGGGACAAAAGAGAAGAUAAAUUUUCAAUCAUCCUUACUGAAAUUUUUUAACAGAGUUCAAAAAAAAGUUACAAAAAUAGCAAAAAGAAAUUUCAAGGGAUACAUGAAUCACUAUGACUUACGGUAAAAGAUUAAGCUUCAUAAAAUAAGAGGAAGAAACCUUUAAGAAAUGGAACACACUUCAUAAGAAGCUUAAUUAAUAAAUGUUUAUGAAUUUGACUGUCUUACUGCAAACAAACCUACAAAUAAUAGUGGCAGAAAUAAAAAAUUUGCUUACUAAAAAACCAAAUGUAAUGAAUUCAACCAUUUCAAAAGCGUUAUGAGUUGUGGGCGGAGAGGUUCAAGAAUAGUAAUGUCGCAUUGCAAUUAAAAUCAAUUUUCAUUGUUUAUAUGAAGAAACAUGUAGAAAGGGACAAAAGAGAAGAUCAAUUUUCAAUCAUCCUUGCUGAAAUUUUUUGACAAAUCUAAAAGAAAGUCUCCAAGAUAGAAAAAAGGAAUUGCCAUUGUUACAUGAAUCACUAUGACUUAUAGUAAAUAUUAAACUCCAUGAAAUUGUAGGAAGAAAACUUUUAAGAAUGAAAUAAAUGUCACGACCCGAUUUCUCAAGUCAUGAUGACACCUACUAUAACCCACCAGUAGGUAAGCCAACCCGUAACCCGGAACAACACGUAAUGGGUCUGAGGGUAGAAACUAAACAAGAGUAGGCAAAUAACAAUAUACACAUGCGGAAGCAAACCAAAACAUAAAUACAAAUAAAGAUCCCUCCCAGAACUUGAAAGUCACUAGAACAGAGCUACUAACAAAAUGAGUACAAGUCCCAAAAGUGGACAACAGAGACUGGACUGUCUCGAAAGGUAAAAGACAAGUCUAUAUAUACAGAUGGAGACUGAAAUAGUACAAAACGUAGUGUGUUCACUCCCGUCUCCGAAUCAGUCUGCUCCAAGCUCGAUCAACGCUGGCUACUAGUGCCCGGACCUGCAUCACGAAAUAGAUGCAGAGCGUAGCAUGAGUACCAAAACAACCGGUACCCAGUAGGCAUCAUAGGCCGACUGAACUUGAAAAGUAAAGGCAGUAUGAAAAGAAGGAAUAACACAAACCGAAGUCAUGAACUAAAAUCUAACUAACAAUGGAAUGCACACGAGUGUAUAAAGAACUAACUAAAGUAAUCUACAAGCUAACUACACCUAACUGGACCCCCAAAAACCCAGAAGGUACACUCGUGCGCAAGUUAAAUAAAAACCCGAACGGAACACCAUAAGCCCGACGAGUACACAAAAUAACUAUAACUAAAGAGAAUUGCAUAAAAGAACCCAAGAACGAAGAACAUCAAACCAGAACCUCAACCCUAAUUAGUAGAAUCUGACAGUACGGAGGCCGGACCUCGAACCGGAUGCUCCCCAGAAGUACCCAAGUAACCAAUCACAGGUAACAAGUAUAAGAGGCCGGAACUCUAACCGGAUGCUCUAUAAAGGUGCCAAUGUAGCUGUUGAAAGAGUCCCAAUCGAUCCAUACUCAGAAAUGUCCGUGGAACGCCGUCCGUACUUAGCCAAUCAAUGUAAGUCCUUGGAACUGAAUCGAAAAUCAAAUUCAAAUCGCGAAGUAGAACUAGUGUCGCCGAUGUAACUUGUGAAGCCGUAACAUCGGGGAAAAUAAGGAGAACUAAAGUCGGAGCAAGCGUAUCACCUAACUAAGGCCCAAACUAUCAAACUCAAGUCUGCUACACCAGCCUACAGGGAUCUAAGCCGGCCGAGCGACGUCGGGGCAAAACUAAGGCCUAUUGGAUCCUAAUCAUGUAUUUCUAAGGCAUGCCCUAGUCAAAUCUAAACUAAGGCCCAACAUGCUUCAAAUAAACAGUAAUUAAGCAUGCUAGCACUCCACAUAGCGAGGAGGGUCCAUUAAUAACACAAAGCAUGCUCACAGUUACCCGAUAAUUCCCGAAAUAAGCCGAAAACAUGAUUUCUUAAUACCUAUGCAGGAUUCAAUAACUACCCAACCCAAAUCCCAACUAAUCAACAUGCAUUCACAUACUCGAGUUCAAUCUAAGAGAGGGAAACUGUAGCCUACCUGUAGGCCAAUCACACGCGCUCCAAAAUCACUUCUCCGGAGCUUUCCCUUUCCGAACGUCCUCGAAACGCUGCCCCGCU
rnacentral:lncRNA from 1 species